UACGUAGGGCGCGAGCGUUGUCCGGAAUUAUUGGGCGUAAAGCGCGCGCAGGCGGUUUCUUAAGUCUGAUGUGAAAUCUCGCGGCUCAACCGUGAGCGGUCAUUGGAAACUGGGAAACUUGAGUGCAGAAGAGAAGAGCGGAAUUCCACGUGUAGCGGUGAAAUGCGUAGAGAUGUGGAGGAACACCAGUGGCGAAGGCGGCUCUUUGGUCUGUAACUGACGCUGAGGCGCGAAAGCGUGGGGAGCGAACAGG
rnacentral:rRNA from 1 species